rnacentral:rRNA from 1 species
CUACGGGAGGCAGCAGUGGGGAAUUUUGCACAAUGGGGGAAACCCUGACGCAGCGAUACCGCGUGAGUGAAGAAGGCCUUUGGGUCGUAAAGCUCUUUUCUAAGGGAAGAUAGUGACGGUACCUUAGGAAUAAGCGCCGGCUAACUCCGUGCCAGCAGCCGCGGUAAUACGGAGGGCGCGAGCGUUGUUCGGAUUUACUGGGCGUAAAGGGCGCGUAGGCGGCCUGGCAAGGUAAGGGUGAAAGCCCGGGGCUUAACCCCGGAACUGCUCUUAAAACUGCCAAGCUAGAGAUGGUCAGAGGCGGGUGGAAUUCCAGGUGUAGAGGUGAAAUUCGUAGAUAUCUGGAGGAACACCGGUGGCGAAGGCGGCCCGCUGGGGCCAUUCUGACGCUGAGGCGCGAAAGCGUGGGGAGCGAACGGGAUUAGAUACCCGCGUAGUC